GUAAAAGCACGUGUGCUGCAAAAACUGUGCAACAUAAAAAUGGAUGAUUAUAUGCCAAAUACUUGUUUUCAUCGAGAUUGUAAAGCCGCAUUCAACACCGUACUGGAUUUAAUCUUGCAUAUUGAAGUUAUUCAUCUUGAUCCAGCAGAUUCGAAACAUGAUUGCUUUAGGAAUCCACCGCUGUAAUACCAAAAGGUAUCGAUUCCCAAUUACGCCAAACAUUCGCUCGCUUGUUGAAACUGAAAUGGUAGAGUAUUCAGAUGAUGAAAUGUCAGUAGAAUUUCGCCUUUCUGAGAUCGGUAGCAUCCCCAGUCGUGCUGACCUUGUUGAUACAGAAAUGACUGACGCAUCGGAUGAUGAGACUUACAGGCGGAAUUCUUGCCCAUUCCCGAAACCUCCUGCAUCUAAGGCGCCUAAGUCGAAAAGUUGUCUUGGCGGUGGUUCAGGCCCUGUCGGAAUGCCAAGGUUACGUCUGCGACAAGAUUUACAUUCACCAUAUAAACG